rnacentral:rRNA from 1 species
UACGAAGGGGGCUAGCGUUGCUCGGAAUUACUGGGCGUAAAGCGCACGUAGGCGGCUUUCUAAGUCGGGGGUGAAAUCCUGGAGCUCAACUCCAGAACUGCCUUCGAUACUGGAGAGCUCGAGUCCGGGAGAGGUGGAGUGGAACUGCGAGUGUAGAGGUGAAAUUCGUAGAUAUUCGCAAGAACACCAGUGGCGAAGGCGGCUCACUGGCCCGGUACUGACGCUGAGGUGCGAAAGCGUGGGGAGCAAACAGG